GAAUCCAAUCAAAUAUUCAUUCGUUAGAGUUCUUAUAAAUAAUUCAAUCUAUCAGGAAAAAAAAAAAAAAUUCAUGAAUUAGUCAGAGUGAGAAAUUGUGAAAUGAAAUUUUGUUGAAUAAAAAAAAAGCUUAUCAGCUGUGUUUUCCCCCCCAUGGAAUAGAAAUAAACGAAACAUAAGUUGGAUUGCUUGGAUGUUGAUCGAAAUCUGUUGUGUCAAUAAUCAUAGGUCAAGGUCUUCAAAGAAAAAAAAUCAAUACGACAAUGUUUAUAUAAAACAAGAAGAAUAACAUUUAUCCGAAAGCCUUAAAGAGUAUGAAUGAGAAUUUUGAGACAUUAUGAUGAUAAUGCCAACCAAGUACCUACGGUGAAGCGAAUUUAAUGGGGAAACCUCUGUCAAAGGGAAAUAAACAGGAUAACGAAAGAAAACAAAAAUAACCCCAAGCACUGUAAAUGUAAAGUUAAGGUGUGUAAAACACCAACCAAGCCUCAAGAGCGUAAAGCCGAAAAAAAAUUCAAAUGGAAUAAAUAUUCAUAAAUGACAGCCGAAACGUAAUGCUCAUUUAAUGGUUAAACCAAAAGCGCCGAAGAGAUUUAAAGCUGAACUACGAAGGCAAAAUAUUAAAUUCCAGGCGCCAAGAAGCUUAGGUGCAAGCCAAAACACAAAGGUCCAAUUGUUCUCCCCACCUCAUGCCCCAAAACACAAUCCAUAGAGAAAAGAAAGCUGGCAUCGAAGCCAAGGCAAGUGAGGUUUUCUCAUUGCUUACCCCAAACACGUCUUUGGCAUACUUAAGUAGUCCAACUCCUACUUUCGCUGCCUGAGGGUAUUACACACCAACCAGCCCGCCCUUACAGCGAAGGGUUUAUUAAAGAUGCUUGAUGUACCAAAAGCCACCUUUGGGCUUAAACAAAACAUUUUAGAUCAUCUUUAGAAGCAGCGUGUAGAAAAAUUCCAUAAAAAAGGCUCCUCCAAGAAGAGAAACAAAAUAAACGGAAGAAAUAAGCUGGCAGGAAGCUCACAGCAAAAUCGGCUAAAGUGUUAAGAAAAACAGCAGCAGCACCAGCAACUACCCAAAAACCACGUUCCUCUUGUGCUGCCUUCCUCUUUAGGGAAUAAAAGAGUUGUGGAGUCGAGUAGGCCACAAAAAGUGGAAAAAACAACAGCUCCGGCAUCCAUCGUCGGUGCAGCUCAGCAGGACAUAACUUUUAAAAACAUUUGCCACUGUGAAACACAGCCAAUAUCAAACUUGUUGGGGUAUUCUCUGACACUUUUGGCUCAGCCUCAAAACACCAGGCAUCCCUUACCACCAAACUCUUUCGGUCAAACUGGUAGGAAAGCAGCAAGGAAAAGAAGGAAUCAUUUUCCUUGGGAUUUCAUGUAGCAGUAUGAAGAGUCAUUGAGGCAGUAGCAAAGUUAAAUUCUGGGAAUUCUAUUAACUGCGAAACUAAAGGAACAGAGCAAAA